CUAUCCCCUUUUCGGGCCUGAAUGUCCUCAUUGCCCUUGACGCCUGGACCGUCCUCCUCGCCCCCACACGGCCUGGGGGCUCUUUAGCUUGGGAGGGGGCCACAGUCAGGGACCUGAGGCGAUACCACGGGUGGGCCGGGGAUCUCGUCCCAUUUUACCAUAGAUGGUGCGGGGACUCCUCUGUGCCCUGACUGGGGACCCAGGGAGGGGGGUUGCACGCACCCGACAGGGUCCAUUUUAAGAAAAGGGCGGUGUCUCUGAGCCCCCAGGAUGUAGGAGGACUUGGGGGCUGGCACCAGACGCGGGGAAGGGCUUGGAAUUCGGGCCUGUCCUCCCUGGAGAGAGAGGGGAUCAAGUGUGUGAGAAGGGAUGGGGGGAGCUACGCCCACCCUGGAAAGGGGCGAGGUGUCUGAAAGGAAGGCGAGGUCUGUGUUCAGACAGACCAGGACUCUGAUCCCCAGCCUGACGGAACCUCCCUUUUCUCACAGACCUCUCAGGAUGGUUCAGGUUUGAAGAGCUCAUUUAUCUAACGAACACUAGAGAUCUACUCCGUGCCAGGCUCUGCUUGGCCCCAGAGAUUGGGUGAGAGACAAGACGGACACGGCGGCGCCUUCCCUUCCGGGGCUUGUGUUGUGAGGAAAACAGUAGACAAGUGAGCAAAUGCACAACUUCACCUCUUGGCAGAUCCCUACACAAACAUUGUUUUCCCCCCUGAAGAUAUUAAACAAAAACAAUGUUGAACAUGGGGGCUGAAGAUGAAGUUCUGUUGAUGGAAAAGAGGAGAAGGCUGGGCUGACGUGAUGGCAACAUGCAAGUUCCUUCACCCAGCUUGGCCCUGCAAAGGAGUAUGGUCUUCAAAAUCCAAGAUGUAUUGGGGCACAUCUCACUGCAAGCACUCAGUGCCACAUGUGGCUUAGUGGCUAAUGUAUUGGGCCAGCAAGGCAGGUUUAGAGAAUGAAGAGAGAAGUGGGUGACUGGGGUCCUGUUGCCACUUGCUGUCCUAACACUGGCUGCUGAAACAAGUCUCUGCCAACCUCAGGCAAGCACAUCACAUGAAAAAGCUAUUGGGCAUCAUGAUUUCUGGAUGAAGAAACUCCCAGCCAUCGGGGAUGAACACAAACUUGAUUCAUCAUGAGGAUAUGCGAUGGUCACCUCUGCUACAGUCCGGAAGGUAAUCUUGCUGAUCCUACUGCCAGGCAGAGUGCAACUACUUCCAGAAACGCUGUGUGGUUUCUAAUAAGGUGAAAUAUACACUCACUGUAUGACCCAGCAAUCCCAUUUACCCAAGAGGUACUUAUCUACGAGAAAUGAACAUUUGUCCACACAAGGACUUGUAGGUGAAUGUUCUAGCAGCUUUAUCAUAAUAGCCCCAAACUGGAAACAGCUCAGAUGUCCUUCAACUGGAGCAUGAAUUACAAAUGGGUUCAUCUAAGCAGAAUUCUGCUCUGUAAUAAAAAGAACUGGACUCUUGAUAUAUAAAACAACACAAACGCCUCUCAAAAGCGUCAUACUGAGUGAAAGAAUCCAGUUGGAAAAAGCUAGAUGAUUUGUAUUUAUAUGGAAUUUAAGAAAAAGCAAAACUACAAUGGUGUGAAGAAGUUCAGCAGUUGGGCUGGGGAAAGUGGGAGGGAGUGACUAAAAGGGGCACAGGGGAAUUUUCUGAGGUGAUAUGAUUAUUCUAUAACAUGACUGUGGUGGUGGUUAUGUGAAAAUAAACACUUCUGUCUUACUGAAUUGUGCUUAAAAUUAAAGAAUUUCAUUGUGUAUAAAUCGUACCUCAAUGAAGCUGACUUUUAAAAAAAAAAAAUUAUGUAACUUGCAGCUGUCAUGUUUGUCUCUCAGUAAA